rnacentral:rRNA from 1 species
GGGUUGUGAGGUUAAGCGACUAAGCGUACACGGUGGAUGCCCUGGCAGUCAGAGGCGAUGAAGGGCGUGCUAAUCUGCGAUAAGCGCCGGUAAGGUGAUAUGAACCGUUAUAACCGGCGAUACCCGAAUGGGGAAACCCAGUGUGAUUCGUCACACUAUCAUUAACUGAAUCCAUAGGUUAAUGAGGCGAACCGGGGGAACUGAAACAUCUAAGUACCCCGAGGAAAAGAAAUCAACCGAGAUUCCCCCAGUAGCGGCGAGCGAACGGGGAGGAGCCCAGAGCCUGAAUCAGCAUGUGUGUUAGUGGAAGCGUCUGGAAAGGUGCGCGAUACAGGGUGACAGCCCCGUACACAAAAGCGCAUGUGCUGUGAGCUCGAUGAGUAGGGCGGGACACGUGGUAUCCUGUCUGAAUAUGGGGGGACCAUCCUCCAAGGCUAAAUACUCCUGACUGACCGAUAGUGAACCAGUACCGUGAGGGAAAGGCGAAAAGAACCCCGGCGAGGGGAGUGAAAAAGAACCUGAAACCGUGUACGUACAAGCAGUGGGAGCACCCUUCGGGGUGUGACUGCGUACCUUUUGUAUAAUGGGUCAGCGACUUAUAUUCUGUAGCAAGGUUAACCGUAUAGGGGAGCCGGAGGGAAACCGAGUCUUAACCGGGCGUUAAGUUGCAGGGUAUAGACCCGAAACCCGGUGAUCUAGCCAUGGGCAGGUUGAAGGUUGGGUAACACUAACUGGAGGACCGAACCGACUAAUGUUGAAAAAUUAGCGGAUGACCUGUGGCU